GAUGAAGAACGUAGCGAAAUGCGAUACGUAGUGUGAAUUGCAGAAUUCAGUGAACCAUCGAAUCUUUGAACGCACAUUGCGCCCCUUGGUAUUCCAUGGGGCAUGCCUGUUCGAGCGUCAUUUGUACCUUCAAGCUUUGCUUGGUGUUGGGUGUUUGUCUCGCCUUUGCGUGUAGACUCGCCUUAAAAUAAUUGGCAGCCGGCGUAUUGAUUUCGGAGCGCAGUACAUCUCGCGCUUUGCACUCAUAACGACAGCGUCCAAAAGUACAUUUUACACUCUUGACCUCGGAUCAGGUAGGGAUACCCGCUGAACUUAAGCAUAUCAAUAAGCGGAGGA
rnacentral:misc_RNA from 1 species